ACUGGAAGUGAAAAAGCAGGAGAAGCUCCAGACAUCGGAGCGUCCACUGAGCGGCGCCGCAGCCCGCAACUUGCACGGCGCAGCCAGCCAAGCGGGCGGGCAGGGAGGCAGGGAGGAAGGCGGGCGGGCAGCCGGUGCUUCCUCCCCUGCUCCACGCUGCAGGCCAACCCGCUCUCUCACACUCCGUGUUGGGUUACAGUGACAAGGGCCCCAGUCUGAACCACGACUUUUUUAGAAAGAUAAUAUUACAGCUGCAGAAUCGACCACAUUAUUCUGACAUUGCUCUGCCAUAUGCUGGAGGACCGCAACCGAUUUGAGCCGCAGCAACAGAAGGGCCCACAGCUGAUCCAUCUCCCCGUGCACAAUUGAGACAGAGGAGGUUAAAGCACUCUGAACGCAUGGGACCAUAUUGCAGGUAUUUGUGCCUGUGGCAGGGUCUCAGGCUUUUAUUCCCUACCUGCUCCCCCCCUCUGCACCCCAUGAUGACCCGCAUGCACCCGAGCCUCAGACAGCGCCUCCCAGCACUCCUCCAUGUUCUCCUCCAUCUGCCUCCUGUCCAUUGAUCAGCCUUCCAGGGCAUCAGUCUGUUUAACAUCUGCUACAAGUUCCAGCAGCUCAGAAAGCACGAGGCAGAGAGAGAGGCACGGGCCGAGAAGUGCUCGCAUCUUCAAAAAUCCUCUUCUUCACAGGCUUCCAGAGCUCGGAGGAACCGCAGUUGCACAGUUUAAUUUGCUCUUUUGUAAUGACGGGGCGUAGAUGCGCAGAGGCUGUAAUGAAGAGCUCUUGAACUCGCAGUCAGGGAAGCAGUGACAGGAGUUCAGAAGGGAUGCCUCUUUGGCUCUGCUGGACGAACACAGGUCCUUCUAUAAACACACACCUUGUAAGAGAGCAGCAUUAUGGCCACGGUUGGGUCUAUGUUGGCAAAGUAAGGAAGUAUGAGAGGAUACUGCUGUUUUUGGAGUCUCAGUUCUCAGCGUUGAAUGCAGCAUGAAUAACGGUGCUCCUUUCUCAAUCGCUUCAAAGGCCAAACCUCUACAGCCCAGAGAGCAGAGUUAAAUAAAGCCCCAGCGUUUCCUCUGAAGGACUUCCCACUGAAACGCACUGAAAGCCUCACGCGUGGAUUAUUUCCACCUUAUUUGCUGCUGGAUUCCAAAAACCUCUCGUUCACUAGCAACACCAAUUCUUUUAUACCGACUGUCUCGUUUGACUGUUUGUUUUACACCCAGGGAACUGUGUGGUUUGGUUUUGUUGUUGUUGUUGUUGUUGUUGUUUUGUUUUUUUCAGGAAUAAAAUGAACAUAAAUGAAUUUUUUUUUAAAUUAUGUUAAAAUGUAUCAUUUCCCCUGUUCAUCAGUAAAAAAUGUGACCUUCUAACAAAAAUGGAUCAUCCCUGUUGUGGCGUUGUUGUGA